UGUAGCUUUGUGGUAGAGUNACUGUCUAGCAUGCAGGAGGCCAUGGGUUCAAUUCCCAACA
rnacentral:tRNA from 1 species